UAAAUUAUGUGCAAUUUACCUAUAUGUUAAAAUGAAUUAAUGAACAUAAUAUUAAACAAGUAUUACUAAUUUAUUGUAUGGCAUCGAUGUGUAGUGUUAGACAUGUGUAAGCUUGAAAAUAUCAUUUUCGAUGGCUGAAAACCUACGGCUGUUUUUGGUAUACUUGAUCAGUUAUCAACAUAAGUCAUGUAUUUUUCUUCUGUUUCUUCUGUUUAAACCGGUAAACUUGUAAAGCCUGAACGUAAGAUUUAUAGUAUUAGUAUCUUAUUUUUGUAUGCACGACUGAUUUCAUUACAUUAUUUCUAGUCUUAGACGUCACAACCUACGUGAUAUUUCUUUCGUUUGACUAUCGGUUUGUCAUGGAUCAUUAGAACUGGAAUUCAGUGUCUACUGAGUACAUUUUGAAAUUUCGAAUGACCCCACAUGAUCACCGGGGUCUUUUCCCUUAUCCGAGAAAAAGAAAUUUGGAAAUUUUUUCAACUUCACUUAUUUAAGUGAUGAUCACAUAUGAGUGUAGAUUGCAAUUCGUAGAGUACAUAAAUAAGGUGAGAUUCACGUGGUAAAAGUAAAAUAACUGUAAAUAUGUCGAAGAAAAAAAAAUAUUUAUUACAAACACAUUAUGCAUAAAUCUUGUAAAGUGAUUUUUUUUGUGAAAAAAAAAAA